rnacentral:lncRNA from 1 species
UGACAUCUAAAUUAUUUUUAUCUCUAAUUCUUGAUUCAACCUAAUAUAUGACUAAUUAAAGAAAUUAGACAUUUAUCUUGACUUAGGGAUCAGAGCAAAAAUAUCCUUGCUCGAUAUCUUCUUAGCCAAUUAAUUGCAUGCCUAGAGAACCAAAUCAAUAACUAAAAAAUUAUAAUAUUUAUAAUUAAUUGUGGAACAAUCCAAGAAAGAGAGAGAAAGGACAUAAUAAAUCAGGUAAUUAAUGGUUUAGAUCUAAGUAAUCGAUGGAUUAUAAAAUGAGUCAGGGCAAAGUGGGAAGGGCAACAUAGGGUCAUUAAUUAUGUGGUUCAAGAAAGUCCAAGAAUGUCUAGAUGGAAGUCAAUAUAUUGGAUGGUCACUGGGGGACUAUCUCCAAGAUAGUG